GGGCGGAUAGCUCAGUUGGUGGAGCACAGCCCUUACAAGGCUGGGGCCGCAGGUUCGAGACCUGCUCCGCCUACCA
rnacentral:tRNA from 1 species